rnacentral:rRNA from 1 species
AUAGAGACUCAGAGCUGCAUAUCAAUAAGCGGAGGAAAAGAAACUAACUAGGAUUCCCUUAGUAACGGCGAGUGAAGCGGGAAGAGCUCAAAUUUGAAAUCUUCAAGGUUCUACCUUGACGAAUUGUAGUUUAAAGAAGUGUUUUCUGUUAGUGGAGUUCGGUAAAAGUUCUUUGGAAUAGGACAUCAUAGAGGGUGAGAAUCCCGUAUUUGGUCAUUACUUCCUAGCUUUGUGAUACACUUUCAAAGAGUCGGAUUGUUUGGGAAUGCAGUCCAAAAUGGGUGGUAAAUUUCAUCUAAAGCUAAAUAUUGGCGAGAGACCGAUAGCGAACAAGUACCGUGAGGGAAAGAUGAAAAGAACUUUGAAAAGAGAGUUAAACAGUACGUGAAAUUGUCAAAAGGGAAGCGUUUGACACCAGUGUUGUUUUUCUCGAAAAUCAAUUAAGAAUGGCAUGAUUCUGUGUUGUAUUGACCUUAUCAGCUUUCUUCACUCUUUUUCGAUGUCUUUCUUAAUGCACUUUUCGGUUAACAAGUCAACAUCAAUUUCUUUUGUUGUAAAAGGAGUCAUUGGAAGGUGGCUUUCUUUUCGGAGAAAGUGUUUAUAGCCCUUAUGCCUCUACAAUCGGAGAGAUUGAGGUCUGCAGCGUAGAUCCUUCGGGGUUAGAUACAUUUGUGCUAAGUUAUAGCUUUUCAUAGACAACUUGUUGACUAUGUUUAGUCAUGUCGGCUUACUCGCUUAUGCUAUUUUACCUACGCUUAGGAUGUUGAAGUCAUCGUAUCGCGC